AAACACAAAGGUUUGGUUGUAGCCUUUUUUAUUUGUUGUUAGCAAAUUUAUACAUGCAAGUAUCUGCCCACCAGUGAGAAUGCCCUUCAGAUCAUUAUCAGAAGGAGCUGAUAUCAAGCACACACCAACGUAGCUCAUAACGCCUUGCUCCACCACGUCCCCACGGGAUACAGCAGCAACAAAAAUUUAUCUAUUAACGAAAGUUAGACUAAGUUAUACUACAAAGGGAUGGUCAAUUUUGUGCCAGCCACCACGGUCAUAGGAUUAACCCAAAUUAAUAAACAAUGGCGUAAAACGUGUUUAAGAGCAAGAUAAAAUAAAGUUAAAAUCUAUCUGAGCUGUAAAAAGCUGAUGAUAAAGUGAAGAUAAUCAACGCAAGUGACUUUAACAACUCUGAAUACACGAUAGCUAAGACACAAACAGGGAUUAGAUUCUCCACUAUGCUUAGCCCUAAACCAUGAUAACUACCAACAAAUUUAUUCACCAGAGAACUACUAGCUAAAGUUUAAAACUGAAAGGACUUGGCAGUGCUUAUAUCCACCUAAGGGAGCCUGUUGCCAUAAUUGAUAAUCCCUGAUAAACCUUACCACCACUUGCUAAUUCAGUGUAUACACCACCAUCUUCAGCAAACCCUUAAAGGGUGCUAAAGUAAGCUCAAUAGUUGUCACAAAAAAAGUUAGGUCAAGGGGUAGCCUAUGUGGUGGUCCAAGAUGGGCUACAUUUUCUCCCUCAGAAUAUACUAACGAACAUCAUUAUGAAAUAAUGACUGAAGGAGUAUUUAGUAGUAAAUCAAGAACAGAGAGCUUAAUUGAAUUAGGCCAUGAAACAUGUGCAUACCACCCCUCACCCUCCUCAAAUGUUUUUACUAUGGAAUCAUAUGAUAAGCCUAAACAAGUAUGAGAGGAGACAAGUAGUAACAAGGUAAGCAUACUGGAAAGUGUGCUUGGAUAACGCAAAGU
rnacentral:ncRNA from 1 species